GUGUCUGUCUGCCGGGAUUCGUGUGAAGUCUUUUUUUCAUGAUCAGAUUCCGGCUGUGGGCUCCUUGGAGGAAGAGCAGAGGUGAGGCGCUUCUCAUCCCACCACAUCAGGGGUCCUGCCUCGGCCCGGCUCACUGCUGAUGUUGACCUCGGCUACCUGGCAGAGUGUGCUGGCCAGGUUUCUCCAGCAUGAAGUCACUCUCGUUUCCCUUGGCGAUGCUCCUUCCAUCAAAACCAGAGUGUCCCAGCUCUAGAUUCCCCACCCAAUCUCCUGUGGCUGUCUCAGCACCUCCGUCGUGAAUCCGUGCAUCCCUUCAGACGACUGCCUUCCGAUGCGGCCCCUGACCUGCCCCCCCUCCCAUCACUGAAUAGGACUCCUUUUCUCCUGGAUUUCCUGUAGGAAGUUUCAAAAUGCUCUCCAGGUUUUCUGUGGGUGGAUUAUCUCUCUGGAUCUUUCUAAGUGAGUCCUGUGUUUCACCACAGCUCCCCCCACACAGUUGAGCAGCUAUACCGUGGGGAGGCUUGGUCCUCUUGCCCCAUUUGUGUGAUGUCUAUUGUAGUCAUGCCAGGGGCCUGACGUCAGAGCUCCACCCUGACAUGUGCUCAUGCCGGUUUACAAACCCUCCCAGGACCAGGCCCCCAUCCCUCUUCCAGGACAGGCUCUGGAGCUCCAGCUAUUAACAGAAACAUUCCAGCCAGCAUCCCCAGCGACCCUCAGCCUCCCACGCCGCUGUGUCUUCAUGACCACAGCCUGGCCACCACACAGCUCCCCCUCGAGGACUGUGACCACUUCCAGCCAUGGUCUCUUUGGGCCAUGCGGGAUAUAUUCCCAUUUCCCCAUUCAGCUGGGAGAUUUUACCAAGGGAUUUUUCUCUCCUGGCUCCAAUGCCAGCAAGACCAUGAACAGCUGUGUCAUUUUCACUUUCAAGCCUCAGCUUCUGUACAUAAAAGAAUACAGUUAAUAAUGAUUUCCUC
rnacentral:lncRNA from 1 species